GCCCGGGUGGCGGAAUUGGCAGACGCGCUAGAUUCAGGUUCUAGUGGGAGAAAUCUCGUGCUGGUUCGAGUCCAGUCUCGGGCA
rnacentral:tRNA from 1 species